GUAGGGAAUAUUGGUUAAUGGGCGAAAGCCUGAACCAGCAACGCCGCGUGCACGAUGACGGCCUUCGGGUUGUAAAGUGCUUUUUGGAGGGAAGAGGAAGGACGGUACCUCCAGAAUAAGUCUCGGCUAACUACGUGCCAGCAGCCGCGGUAACACGUAGGAGACAAGCGUUAUUCGGAUUUACUGGGCGUAAAGCGCGUGCAGGCGGUCUGACAAGUUGGAUGUGAAAGCUCCUGGCUUAACUGGGAGAGGUCGUUCAAAACUAUCAGACUAGAGAGUGGUAGAGGAAGGCGGAAUUCCGGGUGUAGUGGUGAAAUGCGUAGAUAUCCGGAGGAACACCAGUGGCGAAAGCGGCCUUCUGGACCAAUUCUGACGCUCAGACGCGAAAGCUAGGGUAGCGAACGGGAUUAGAAACCCCUGUAGUCC
rnacentral:rRNA from 1 species